GACGGAGGGUGCAAGCGUUGUCCGGAAUUAUUGGGCGUAAAGCGUCCGUAGGCGGCAUGUCAAGUCUGAUGUUAAAUCCCAGAGCUCAACUCUGGUUCGGCAUUGGAUACUGGCAAGCUAGAGUACAGAAGAGGCAAGGGGAAUUCCCAGUGUAGCGGUGAAAUGCGUAGAUAUUGGGAGGAACACCAGUUGCGUAAGCGCCUUGCUGGGCUGUAACUGACGCUGAGGGACGAAAGCCAGGGUAGCAAAUGGG
rnacentral:rRNA from 1 species